CCUACGGGUGGCUGCAGUGGGGGAUAUUGCACAAUGGGGGAAACCCUGAUGCAGCGACGCCGCGUGUGGGAAGACGGUCCUCUGAUUUGUAAACCACGUUCCCCAGGGACGAAAAUGACGUUACCUAGGGAGGAAGCUCCGGCUAACUACGUGCCAGAAGCCGCGGUAAUACGUAGGGAGCGAGCGUUGUCCGGAAUUACUGGGUGUAAAGGGAGCGUAGGCGGGGAUGCAAGUUGGGUGUCAAAACUACCGGCUCAACUGGUAGUCGCAUUCAAAACUGCAGCUCUUGAGUGAAGUAGAGGCAGGCGGAAUUCCUAGUGUAGCGGUGAAAUGCGUAGAUAUUAGGAGGAACACCAGUGGCGAAGGCGGCCUGCUGGGCUUUUACUGACGCUGAGGCUCGAAAGUGUGGGGAGCAAACAGGAUUAGAUACCCGGGUAGUC
rnacentral:rRNA from 1 species